GAUGAACGCUGGCGGCGUGCUUAACACAUGCAAGUCGAACGGAAAGGCCCAAGCUUGCUUGGGUACUCGAGUGGCGAACGGGUGAGUAACACGUGGGUGAUCUGCCCUGCACUUCGGGAUAAGCCUGGGAAACUGGGUCUAAUACCGGAUAGGACCACUUCUUGGAUGUUGUGGUGGAAAGUUUUUUCGGUGUGGGAUGAGCUCGCGGCCUAUCAGCUUGUUGGUGGGGUAAUGGCCUACCAAGGCGUCGACGGGUAGCCGGCCUGAGAGGGUGUACGGCCACAUUGGGACUGAGAUACGGCCCAGACUCCUACGGGAGGCAGCAGUGGGGAAUAUUGCACAAUGGGCGCAAGCCUGAUGCAGCGACGCCGCGUGGGGGAUAACGGCCUUCGGGUUGUAAACUCCUUUCGCUAGGGACGAAGCGUUUUGUGACGGUACCUGGAGAAGAAGCACCGGCUAACUACGUG
rnacentral:rRNA from 1 species